rnacentral:rRNA from 1 species
GUGGAGCAUGCGGCUUAAUUUGACUCAACGCGGGAAGUCUUACCGGGUCCGGACACACUGAGGAUUGACAGAUAUACGCUGCGUUAUGUCCUUCGGGCCUGCGUGGCUCAAAGAUGCUAGUUCUUUCAUGAUUAUGUGAUAGGUGGUGCAUGGCCGUUCUUAGUUCGUGGAGUGAUCUGUCUGCUUAAUUGCGUAUCAAUAAUAGAGACCUAGUAUACGUGCAUUACUCAUGCGGUAGUGACCCCCUCUUCGCGGAGGCGCGCGUCGCACAUAUGGUAUGCGCACUGGUCUCAGAUAGCAACGAACGUGACCGUAUUCUAUUGUUGCAGUGAAUUAUACGUGCUGCUCUUUACCGAGUUAGUUACAUCCCACUGCUUAGUGUGCGCGGCGUAUUUCGGUACUCGCGUCACACAUUAAACUAUAGAGACCGCUGUUUCUUCUUUAAACCAGAGGAAGGAUAC